rnacentral:rRNA from 1 species
AUUCUAGAUUUAAUUAUUAAUGCUAAAAUACUAAAAGCUAUGAUCUCUAAAUUUAAAGGAUUUGGCGGCAUCUUAGUCCAGUUAGAGGAACCUGUACCUUAAACGAUAAACCACGCAAAAUCUUACCUAUUUUCAGUUUGUAUACCGUCAUUACUUAGAUAACUCCGAAAAGAAAAGUUAUUAAAAAGAAAUUCAUUAAAUAUAUUAGAUCAAGGUGCAGCACAUAAAUAGGAAUCUUAUGGGUUACAAUAAACUUCAUUUACACGAAUAUAACCAUUAAAUACGUUAUUGAAGGAGGAUUUAAUAGUAAAAUCAGUUUAACAUGCUAAUUUGAUAAAGGAUCUAAGCUGUGUACACAUCGCCCGUCACUUUCACUUUUAAAUGAAAUAAGUCGUAACAUAG